UUUCUUGGUCAUUUAGAGGAAGUAAAAGUCGUAACAAGGUUUCCGUAGGUGAACCUGCGGAAGGAUCAUUAAUACAUGUUGAGUGCACUUGUAUAACUAUUACCACCCCACCCAGAGGUGCAUUGUGGCCUUUCACGAGGUUAGCAGUGUAUCAGUACGUAUCCCAAAGGCAACUUUGAGUUACAUUACCCAUCAUUUACCCCCAUUUACACUUAAUAAGUUUUAAGAAUGAUACCUAUAAUUAUAUAACUUUCAGCAAUGGAUCUCUAGGCUCUCACAUCGAUGAAGAACACAGUAAAACCUGUUUGAGUGUCACGAAACCCCCCUCGGCUCUUUCAUUAGAGACGGAUUCUGAGUGUUGGCGUGCAAACGCCUCGCUUUAAAUAGAUCAGCACUUUUGGAUGGUUGAAUAUUAGUUCAAAAGACGUACUUGAUGUUGUAUUUAUAUGUCAUUGAGGCAGUCUUUGGUCGUUACGACUAUCUGCUAAUACGAAAACUUGAAGAAUAGCUUCCUAACUAGAAUUAAAUUAACCUUUAGACUUCAAAUCAGGUGGGACUACCCGCUGAACUUAAGCAUAUCAAUAAGCGGAGGAAAAGAAAAUAACUAUGAUUCCCUUAGUAACGGCGAGUGAACAGGGAAAAGCCCAAAUUUGUAAUCUGGCACUUUUUACAAGUGUCCGAGUUGUAAUUUGUAGAACUGUUAUCCGUGCUGGACCAUGUACAA
rnacentral:rRNA from 1 species